GUAGGUGGCAAGCGUUGUCCGGGAAUUAUUGGGGCGUAAAGCGCGCGCAGGCGGUUCUUUAAGUCUGAUGUGAAAGCCCACGGGCUCAACCGUGGAGGGUCAUUGGAAACUGGAGAACUUGAGUACAGAAGAGGAAAGAGGAAUUCCACGUGUAGCGGUGAAAUGCGUAGAGAUGUGGAGGAACACCAGUGGCGAAGGCGGCUUUCUGGUCUGUAACUGACGCUGAGGCGCGAAAGCGUGGGGAGCAAACAGGAUUAGAUACCCUGGUAGUCCACGCCGUAAACGAUGAGUGCUAAGUGUUAGGGGGUUUCCGCCCCUUAGUGCUGCAGCUAACGCAUUAAGCACUCCGCCUGGGGAGUACGGCCGCAAAGGCUGA
rnacentral:rRNA from 1 species